UGCUGAACGACAUUUGAUCUUUUGAAAAGAAUACCUCCCAGGGUCAGAAAAUCUUAGUAAAGAUUGUACAUUCUCUCUUGAGACUCCAUUUCUGCACACAGCUGGGGCUCAGCAAAUGCGUGUUGAUUCACGCAGACGCUCAUUCAGCUGUUCUCUAACGCCCUCCAUUUCUCAAGGAGUGCGCGGUCUGUUUCCUCCGCCAGCAGCAAGUGCGAACAGCCCCCACAGGCUCUGCUAAAGAGCCCGCCGCAUUUUCACAGGCGGAACGGUCACGGGGGAGUCCUGCAGCGCCCCUUCUCCCACUCCGCAGAGCCAACGUCAGGCGCUGUCUGGGAGCCACCCAACUAGGAGAGGUAAGUUAACUGGAAAGCAAAGUCCCUGCAGGACCAGCCUGGGGAAGUGGCCCCGAGGGGUGAAACGGAAGACAAAACAGAACCGCUUUUGGUUUACAAACUACCCAAGAAAAACCAGCCUCUUUUUCACUUGUCUUUUGACCAAAAAGUGUAUUAGCCAAACUGAGGCCCUGCCUAAUCCAGCAAGCCGGCUUCUGAAUGUCUUUCGCCUCUUACCACAAAUCCAACCCACUUCAAAGAAUGAAGAUUUAUCACCACAGAGGCCACAGGCUCUGAAAGGACAUCCCUCAAAGAGUUCCCACAAUGUCCGGAGGAGGACGGCGCGACUGAGACAAAUGUGCAAGCUCUCCCAAGUAGACGGCCCCAAGGACUCACAUUUAUUUGCUGGUCUAGGUUUCAAGAUUUUCAUGGAAAAUAAUCACAUGACUUCAUGGCUGUCUUUCCUUUAUUGAUGUCACUGCUGUCAUUUGUACAUUUGCUGAUGUCACUGUUCUCAUAACAUACCGUGUUUACUGCCAUCCCUCUUGAGACAUCUCAACUCUUCAAACUCAUCCACAAGCUCCCUCUCCCACAACACACCCAUCUGUCUGUCAUUGUCACAUCUGCACACUGAUCCAGACCGUUCUGCCCUAUAAAUGACACACUGUAACCUUGGUAGAGUGACUCCCAUAAGCUGCAGGAGUUCUGCUCUGUGAACACAGGCAGAAGAAUGGUUUUCCAAGACAGGGUCCCAAGACACAUCUGGAAACAACCACAUCAUGAGAGAGUCAUGAUAUUGUGUGUGACUGGUUUUCAAUUUCAUUUUAACUUUAGAAUGCAUUUUUAUAAUAAGACUAAGACUGGAUUUAACAAAAUAUAAAGUAGUUUCAGUAAUAUAUGGUACCUUUAAAUUAAAUGCUCCCCCCCAACAGAAGAAACAUAGCAAAUUUCUUUAAAAGAUCGUUUUCUUGUUGGAGCAACAAAUGCCAGCCUUAACCUAGAAGAAGCCCUAGUUUCUGUUUUCAUUCCUGUCUCCAGAAAGGUACAAGAUUAUGAAGUUUGUGAUGUCCACGUCCAUCUGUUUGAUUUUAGUUGCUUGACUUACACCUUGAAUUAAAUUCAACAUAAUAAAAAUAGAAAUUGCGGCAAAUAUUUUAUACUUUAUAUCUUGCCUAGAUGAAAAGAAAUAGUGGAUUAAAUGUUGAUCUGCUUUUUUAGAGAAUUUCAGAACAAUGCGUUAUUUUCUCAUUGUUCUUCAAAAGCUCUAAAAACCUGGGAUCCUUGGACUCACAAAUCAUAUCGUUGAAAGAGGCGAAUGUUUUUUGUAUAGGUAAGGAGAUUGAGGUCCAAAGAAAUGUAGUUAUUUCAACAAGGGUUCACAGUGACUGGGGGCAGAACCAGGACCAAAACUCUCCU
rnacentral:lncRNA from 1 species